rnacentral:lncRNA from 1 species
GGCAGUAAUUCUAAUAUUGCUUUCGCCUUAUUUUUAUCAAUUUCGAUCCCUUUUUUAUGCACUAAAAAUCCUAAAAAAUUUCCUACUGAAACUCCAAAAGCAUAUUUUAAAGGGUUUAUUUUCAAAUUAUAUUUCCUCAUUCUUUCAAAGGCGAGCUUUAAAUCAAUCAAAUGUUCGGCUUGCGACUUGGAUUUUACGACAUAUCGUC